UUGCGCCUACGGGGGGCAGCAGUGGGGAAUAUUGGGCAAUGGGCGCAAGCCUGACCCAGCAACGCCGCGUGAAGGAAGAAGGCUUUCGGGUUGUAAACUUCUUUUCUCAGGGACGAAGCAAGUGACGGUACCUGAGGAAUAAGCCACGGCUAACUACGUGCCAGCAGCCGCGGUAAUACGUAGGUGGCAAGCGUUAUCCGGAUUUACUGGGUGUGAAGGGCGUGUAGGCGGGGACGCAAGUCAGAUGUGAAAACCAUGGGCUCAACAUGUGGCCUGCAUUUGAAACUGUGUUUCUUGAGUACUGG
rnacentral:rRNA from 1 species